AUACUUCUUCCAGCUGCCCUGUGAAGAAAGACGUGUUUGCUUUUCCUUCAGCCAUGAUUAGUCCUGUGAUGUUAUGAGAAAAAUGAUUUGAAAAUGAGCUUGAGGUUUCAGCCCUGGAGGCCUGAACAGACGAGCUGGCUGUGGCUAGUCACUCCCCCACCAGCCUUGGCCGUGCACUCAUGCCAUUCAGCAGAUUUGAUGAAGCCAGCUUUCAUGUUACGAGCUACCUCUGUGGAGAAGCCCACAUGUCAAGAGAGUGGAUGACCCUCUUGCCCACAGCCAGUGAGGAAUGGAGGCCCUGAGGCCAAUGGGCUACAAAGAACUAAAUCCUGUCAACAUUCAUAUGCAUGACCUUGGAAUCAGAUCCCACCCCCAUCAAGGCCUGACAUGACUGCAAUCCCAGCUGACAUUUUGAUUGUAGUCAUGUAAGAGUCCCAGAGGACCCAGUUAAGCUAGGCACAGUCUCUUAAUGCGGGGAAAUUGUGAAGUAAUUAGUACUGUUGUUUUGGGAUAAUGUGUUACGUAACAAGAGACAGGUGAUACAACAUCUCUGAGAUUC
rnacentral:lncRNA from 1 species